rnacentral:rRNA from 1 species
GACGAACGCUGGCGGCGUGCUUAACACAUGCAAGUCGAACGGAAAGGCCCUGCUUUUGUGGGGUGCUCGAGUGGCGAACGGGUGAGUAACACGUGAGUAACCUGCCCUUGACUUUGGGAUAACUUCAGGAAACUGGGGCUAAUACCGGAUAGGAGCUCCUGCUGCAUGGUGGGGGUUGGAAAGUUUCGGCGGUUGGGGAUGGACUCGCGGCUUAUCAGCUUGUUGGUGGGGUAGUGGCUUACCAAGGCUUUGACGGGUAGCCGGCCUGAGAGGGUGACCGGCCACAUUGGGACUGAGAUGCGGCCCAGACUCCUACGGGAGGCAGCAGUGGGGAAUAUUGCACAAUGGGCGGAAGCCUGAUGAAGCAACGCCGCGUGCGGGAUGACGGCCUUCGGGUUGUAAACCGCUUUCGCCUGUGACGAAGCGUGAGUGACGGUAAUGGGUAAAGAAGCACCGGCUAACUACGUG